rnacentral:rRNA from 1 species
CCUACGGGAGGCAGCAGUGAGGAAUAUUGGUCAAUGGACGAGAGUCUGAACCAGCCAAGUAGCGUGAAGGAUGACUGCCCUAUGGGUUGUAAACUUCUUUUAUAUGGGAAUAAAAUAGGGCAUGUAUACCUUUUUGUAUGUACUAUAUGAAUAAGGAUCGGCUAACUCCGUGCCAGCAGCCGCGGUAAUACGGAGGAUCCGAGCGUUAUCCGGAUUUAUUGGGUUUAAAGGGAGCGUAGGUGGGUUGUUAAGUCAGUUGUGAAAGUUUGCGGCUCAACCGUAAAAUUGCAAUUGAAACUGGCAGUCUUGAGUACAGUAGAGGUAGGCGGAAUUCGUGGUGUAGCGGUGAAAUGCUUAGAUAUCACGAAGAACUCCGAUUGCGAAGGCAGCUCACUAGACUGCAACUGACACUGAUGCUCGAAAGUGUGGGUAUCAAACAGGAUUAGAUACCCCAGUAGUC